AUGAUGAUGAAGAUGAUGAUGAUGAAGAUGAUGAGGAGGAGGAAGAAGAGGAGGAGGAAGAGCCUGUCAAAGAAGCACCUGGAAAACGAAAGAAGGAAAUGGCCAAACAGAAAGCAGCUCCUGAAGCCAAGAAACAGAAAGUGGAAGGCACAGAACCGACUACGGCUUUCAAUCUCUUUGUUGGAAACCUAAACUUUAACAAAUCUGCUCCUGAAUUAAAAACUGGUAUCAGCGAUGUUUUUGCUAAAAAUGAUCUUGCUGUUGUGGAUGUCAGAAUUGGUAUGACUAGGAAAUUUGGUUAUGUGGAUUUUGAAUCUGCUGAAGACCUGGAGAAAGCGUUGGAACUCACUGGUUUGAAAGUCUUUGGCAAUGAAAUUAAACUAGAGAAACCAAAAGGAAAAGACAGUAAGAAAGAGCGAGAUGCGAGAACACUUUUGGCUAAAAAUCUCCCUUACAAAGUCACUCAGGAUGAAUUGAAAGAAGUGUUUGAAGAUGCUGCAGAGAUCAGAUUAGUCAGCAAGGAUGGGAAAAGUAAAGGGAUUGCUUAUAUUGAAUUUAAGACAGAAGCUGAUGCAGAGAAAACCUUUGAAGAAAAGCAGGGAACAGAGAUCGAUGGGCGAUCUAUUUCCCUGUACUAUACUGGAGAGAAAGGUCAAAAUCAAGACUAUAGAGGUGGAAAGAAUAGCACUUGGAGUGGUAAGAAAUUAGGCUUGUUACAAGGUUCCAGAAUUGGAGGGAACUCCUUUGUGUCUUUGUAUUUCAUAAGUUUAUAAAUACUUUUUAAUCAAAGUUACUUAAAUGUAGGUGAAGAUCAAGGACAUGAUACCCCAAGUCAUACUCUUAUUUGGAAUAGUAAUUUCCAAUCUUGAAUGAGAGCUCUAAAAUCAUUUUGCAUUGGAAUACAGUAGGC
rnacentral:sRNA from 1 species